rnacentral:rRNA from 1 species
AGCUUGCUUCUCUGAUGUUAGCGGCGGACGGGUGAGUAACACGUGGAUAACCUACCUAUAAGACUGGGAUAACUUCGGGAAACCGGAGCUAAUACCGGAUAAUAUUUUGAACCGCAUGGUUCAAAAGUGAAAGACGGUCUUGCUGUCACUUAUAGAUGGAUCCGCGCUGCAUUAGCUAGUUGGUAGGGUAACGGCUUACCAAGGCAACGAUGCAUAGCCGACCUGAGAGGGUGAUCGGCCACACUGGAACUGAGACACGGUCCAGACUCCUACGGGAGGCAGCAGUAGGGAAUCUUCCGCAAUGGGCGAAAGCCUGACGGAGCAACGCCGCGUGAGUGAUGAAGGUCUUCGGAUCGUAAAACUCUGUUAUUAGGGAAGAACAUAUGUGUAAGUAACUGUGCACAUCUUGACGGUACCUAAUCAGAAAGCCACGGCUAACUACGUGCCAGCAACCGCGGUAAUACGUAGGUGGCAAGCGUUAUCCGGAAUUAUUGGGCGUAAAGCGCGCGUAGGCGGUUUUUUAAGUCUGAUGUGAAGGCCCACGGCUCAACCGUGGAGGGUCAUUGGAAACUGGAAAACUUGAGUGCAGAAGAGGAAAGUGGAAUUCCAUGUGUACGGUGAAAUGCGCAGAGAUAUGGAGGAACACCAGUGGCGAAGGCGACUUUCUGGUCUGUAACUGACGCUGAUGUGCGAAAGCGUGGGGAUCAAACAGGAUUAGAUACCCUGGUAGUCCACGCCGUAAACGAUGAGUGCUAAGUGUUAGGGGGUUUCCGCCCCUUAGUGCUGCAGCUAACGCAUUAAGCACUCCGCCUGGGGAGUACGACCGC